rnacentral:rRNA from 1 species
UACGGAGGGGGCUAGCGUUAAUCGGAAUUACUGGGCGUAAAGCGUGCGCAGGCGGUUAUGUAAGACAGGUGUGAAAUCCCCGGGCUUAACCUGGGAACUGCAUUUGUGACUGCAUAGCUAGAGUACGGCAGAGGGGGAUGGAAUUCCGCGUGUAGCAGUGAAAUGCGUAGAUAUGCGGAGGAACACCGAUGGCGAAGGCAAUCCCCUGGGCCUGUACUGACGCUCAUGCACGAAAGCGUGGGGAGCAAACAGG